rnacentral:rRNA from 1 species
UACGUAGGGACCAAGCGUUGUUCGGAUUUACGGGGCGUAAAGGGCGCGUAGGCGGCGCGGUAAGUCACUUGUGAAAUCUCUGAGCUUAACUCAGAACGGCCAAGUGAUACUGCAGUGCUAGAGUGUGGAAGGGGCAAUCGGAAUUCUUGGUGUAGCGGUGAAAUGCGUAGAUAUCAAGAGGAACACCUGAGGUGAAGACGGGUUGCUGGGCCAACACUGACGCUGAGGCGCGAAAGCCAGGGGAGCAAACGGG